GACGAAGGGGGCUAGCGUUGUUCGGAAUUACUGGGCGUAAAGCGUGUGUAGGUGGUUGUCCAAGUUGGAUGUGAAAGCCUUGAGCUCAACUCAAGAAAUGCAUUCAGGACUGGGCGACUAGAGGACCGGAGAGGAUAGUGGAAUUCCCAGUGUAGUGGUGAAAUACGUAGAGAUUGGGAAGAACACCAGUGGCGAAGGCGGCUAUCUGGACGGUUUCUGACACUAAGGCGCGAAAGCGUGGGGAGCAAACAGG
rnacentral:rRNA from 1 species